UACGUAGGGUGCAAGCGUUAAUCGGAAUUACUGGGCGUAAAGCGUGCGCAGGCGGUUUGUAAGUCUGUCGUGAAAUCCCCGGGCUCAACCUGGGAAUUGCGAUGGAGACUGCAAGGCUAGAAUCUGGCAGAGGGGGGUAGAAUUCCACGUGUAGCAGUGAAAUGCGUAGAGAUGUGGAGGAACACCGAUGGCGAAGGCAGCCCCCUGGGUCAAGAUUGACGCUCAUGCACGAAAGCGUGGGGAGCAAACAGG
rnacentral:rRNA from 1 species